rnacentral:tRNA from 1 species
AAAGGAUUAGUUAAAUUAUAACUCAAGCUUGUCAAGUUUGAAUUACCUAAAGGUAUUCUUUU